UAUCCGCCCCCCCCCGCCAUGCAGGGAUAGAUUUUUGACUCUGGGUUAUCUUGGAAUGAAAUCCAAAUCAAAUGUGGUUUGCUGUAGCAAUACACAGGUUUCUGUUCAUGGCCAACAACUGAUGUUCUUUAUCCCUUGGUGGCAGAUUUUUCGGACCUCACCCGACACCACAUUCCCUGAGCCCAUGCGCCUGUCGUCCUCACCCCCCAAUGCUCCCCCAAGACAAUCAAAGAGACAAGGACAGAGGAUGAAGAGACCUGUGGCCGUGUACAAUCUGUGUCUGGAGCUGGAGGAUGGCAGAGCAUUUCAUCACGUGACAGGGGUGACAAACAGACCUCCCCACCAAGACUGGGCCGUACGGAGACUGGCACAUGGUGCUUUUCAUAUCCCAAGUUACCUCAGUCCAGCUGAUUGUUGACAUUCAGCUACCUGUCUCAGUAUUGCCAGAUUGCCCACUUGUAGAACAAAGCCUGGAAAUCUGAAUUUUCAGUGUUGAUCCAUGCAAAGCAAGACCGUGAGCCACACAGAGGGGACACGCUGAUGACUUGUGAUCCUGUAGUAGCUGCUGUGGAGAAUAAGGUGACCUGGUCUCAAAGCCUGCAUUUUCACAUGUAUGUCUGAAACACACUCUGAUGGUGGCUUCUCUCAUAUUUAGCCUAUUUCCAAAACUUGAAGUUUAUUUUCUUUUUCUUUUUGCCCUCAUUCAUCUUUUAAAAAAAUGUCUUCCAUAUAUUAUCCUAUGAUGUACUAAAGUUAUACUGGUUUGGGAGUAUGAGAUGAAAAAAGGGAUCGUGAAGGGGACAAACACAGUACGGUGGACCCUCAAGUUAGGACCAGCCUGACAUAUGAACAACUUGGGUUAAUUAGGUUAAUGGAAGAUUCCUCUGCCUCUUGUUAUCUAUAGUGUGCGCGCGGGUAAACAUCCAGACCUCAGCUGCAUUGACUUACAGCCAACUUGAGUUACAACCAGCCCUCGGGAACUGAUCAAGUUUGUAAGUCAAGGGUCCCCUGUACCUUCGUGGUAGCAGCUAUACAUUGACAUGGCUAAGUACCUAAUAUCUAAAGAACCAGCUGUCCCCAGGGACUUGGGUGUCUACAGGAACCGAGGUCUGAGACCUUCUGGUAUAUUCUUUUAGGUUGCUUACGACAUGUGCACAUAUGAGACGUUCAGUAGUUCUACAGUUAGAUCCUAAUUUUUCUGAGAAAGCCAUCAAUCAUAAAAAUCAACUUCUAAUUUCAGAACUUCACCUUAGAUGUUGGUUUCUGAUCCCAGCUAGCUCCCUCCCCCGCUUUUGUUGCCUUCACUCUUUCUCAACAGAGUUGCUAAUAAGGAGUACAACUGACUGGUUUGAAUUGCACCUUCUCGUACAUCUCACCUGUCCUCUGGUAGAAGUGUUAAUAAACAGCGAAAUAAGCAAGUGUCAGAAAGUAGAAAGGGAAAAAGAAAUCUGGAAGAUAGAGAAUAAUACGGCAGUUGGCUGGCUGGCCCUUUAGCAAACCACACUUGACUAUAUUUCAUGAAGGAUAUGACCAAAGAUAGACAUUUGUCUUACAAGCACAUCUACUUUUCUGGUAUUCAUAGGAAUAGAAUCAUUGUAUCUGAUCAGAUUUAUGGAGGUAUUAAUCUUUUGAUUGCUGGCUUGCUAAAUGAUUUUUAAUAGCUAAGAGGCAUCUGUAGCAUUCAGCACAUCAUUUAUGAAAAACUCAAGAUGGUGCACAAGCAUAGGUUUCCUAAUUUGGGGGAAAUAAAAUAUUUUUUUCCUGGUGCUAGGGAUUAAACUCAGGGCCUUGCAUAUACUAGGCAAGCACUCUACUGCUGAGCCGCACUGCCCAGCCCUGAUAAAAUAAUCUGUGAAAGCCCUGUGAAAAUAAAUCUUUGAUUUAAAAGGAAAAAAGACUAUUAAAUGUUCAGUUCCUCUAGGCUGUGGCUGUUAAUUAUUUUAUGAUGUUUUAUUUUAUGUAUUUUGUACUUACAGAGAAUUUCAUACCUGUACAUUAAUCCUUGAUUGGAGUCUCGAUUUCAUUCAUUCAUUCAUUCAUUCGUGUGUGUGUUCUCAGAAUCAGGAAAGCCCAUCAGUUUGUUAUGAAAUAAUUGUAUUUUGUCUUGGAGGUCAUAGCAUAAUAUAAAGUAAUCCUCCUGCCAAUUACUUGUAGCUAGGAUUUAGUAAAAUCUCAAAUUGUGUGUAAAAGUCUUUCAGAGAGAGAACAAACUAGAGUCAGUAUUUCAUUACAGACUUUGAUGUUUU
rnacentral:lncRNA from 1 species